GAGCAUGAUGAGGAUAUUUCCAAAAGAGUUCUUUAAAUCUCUUUCAUGAUUUAUAAAUAGACUUAACAUCUAACUAGGUCAAAUAUGUGAUGUCAUUUCUAAGCUU